GUGCCAGCAGCCGCGGUAAUACAGAGGGUGCAAGCGUUAAUCGGAUUUACUGGGCGUAAAGCGUGUGUAGGUGGCUUCCUAAGUCGGUUGUGAAAUCCCUGGGCUCAACCUGGGAAUUGCAGUCGAUACUGGGAAGCUCGAGUUCGGUAGAGGGUGACGGAAUUCCCGGUGUAGCGGUGAAAUGCGUAGAUAUCGGGAGGAACAUCGAUGGCGAAGGCAAUCACCUGGGCCUGAACUGACACUGUGACACGAAAGCGUGGGGAGCAAACAGGAUUAGAAACCCGCGUAGUCC
rnacentral:rRNA from 1 species